rnacentral:rRNA from 1 species
UACGGAAGGCAGCAGUAGGGAAUCUUCCGCAAUGGACGAAAGUCUGACGGAGCAACGCCGCGUGAACGAUGAAGGCUUUCGGGUCGUAAAGUUCUGUUGUUAGGGAGACAAGUACCGGAGUAACUGCCGGUACCUUGACGGUACCUAACCAGAAAGCCACGGCUAACUACGUGCCAGCAGCCGCGGUAAUACGUAGGUGGCAAGCGUUGUCCGGAAUUAUUGGGCGUAAAGCGCGCGCAGGCGGUCCUUUUAAGUCUGAUGUGAAAGCCCACGGCUCAACCGUGGAGGGUCAUUGGAAACUGGGGACUUGAGUGCAGAAGAGGAGAGUGGAAUUCCACGUGUAGCGGUGAAAUGCGUAGAGAUGUGGAGGAACACCAGUGGCGAAGGCGACUCUCUGGUCUGUAACUGACGCUGAGGCGCGAAAGCGUGGGGAGCGAACAGGGAUUAGAUACCCGU